GGAAGUUGUGAGCUUGACACUCCGACGCACGCGCACACACUCGCGUCCAUAUGUGAGCUCACGUUUCAUUCAUACGAAAUUGAAUAUAAAUAGAAGUAAAAACUGUAACGAAUUCUGGUCAGUUUCAACACAGUAGCAGUCAGAAGCCAUCUGAGACCACCAUGAACGCUAGACAAACUCUGAACUUGAUGGUAUCUGCAGCCGUUUUGGCUCUUUCUUUUUAUGUGGUUGGAGUGGACGCCAUAUGUGAGGCCAGCAAAGGUUGUUUUACAUGCUCUAAUAAAACCAUUUAUGCUUGUUAACUUCUGAGACAGACCAACCACGUUCAACAUGAAUACGACAAUAAAAAUUGUUUACCUUUUCCGAAACAUCAGUAAUUUAUCAUGUUUUCAAUUAUUAUCAAAUACUAUGAGCUAACUCUAUGAAGAGCAUGUCAACAAUGAUCAAUGACAACAAGAAUGUUUAGAACUAUAUAUUUAUAUUUAUUUCAUUGGAGUCUUUCACUUCAGAUAUAUGUUCCCAAACAACAAUAAACAAAUGAACUAAAA